AACGUAGGUGGCAAGCGUUAUCCGGAUUUACUGGGCGUAAAGGGUGUGCAGGCGGACGGUCAAGUGGUGUAUGAAAGCGCUCGGCUCAACCGGGCAAGGCUAUGCCAGACUGACCGACUAGAGUCUGAAAGAGGGUGGUGGAAUUCCGGGUGUAGUGGUGAAAUGCGUAGAGAUCCGGAGGAACCCCAGAGGCGAAGGCGGCCACCUGGUUCAGCACUGACGCUCAGACACGACAGCAUGGGGAGCGAACGGG
rnacentral:rRNA from 1 species